GAUGAAGAACGCAGCGAAAUGCGAUAAGUAAUGUGAAUUGCAGAAUUCAGUGAAUCAUCGAAUCUUUGAACGCACAUUGCGCCCGCCAGAAUACUGGCGGGCAUGCCUGUUCGAGCGUCAUUUCAACCAUCAAGCCCCCCGGCUUGUGUUGGGGACCUGCGGCUGCCGCAGGCCCUGAAAAGCAGUGGCGGGCUCGCUGUCACACCGAGCGUAGUAGCAUACAUCUCGCUCUGGGCGUGCUGCGGGUUCCGGCCGUUAAACCACCUUCAUAACCCAAGGUUGACCUCGGAUCAGGUAGGAAGACCCGCUGAACUUAAGCAUAUCAAUAAGCGGAGGA
rnacentral:misc_RNA from 1 species